rnacentral:piRNA from 1 species
UGGGACUCUAGGUUGCUGUGCUUUGACUUU